rnacentral:rRNA from 1 species
AGCAGCCGCGGUAAUUCCAGCUCCAAUAGCGUAUAUUAGAGUUGUUGCAGUUAAAAAGCUCGUAGUUGAAUUUCGGGAUUUGUCAGUUGGUCGGGCUUCACUGUCCGUACUGACUUGGUGGAUUCUUACCUUCUGAAUAACCAGCAUGCUAUUUAGUUAGUGCGUUGGGGAAGCAGAUCUAUUACCUUGAAAAAAUUAGAGUGCUUAAAGCGGGCUAGUGCUUGAAUAGAUUAGCAUGGAAUAAUAAAAUAGGACGGCAUGGUUCUAUUUUGUUGGUUUCUAGGAUCACCGUAAUGAUUAAUAGGGAUAGUUGGGGGCAUUAGUAUUCAAUUGUCAGAGGUGAAAUUCUUGGAUUUAUUGAAGACUAACUUCUGCGAAAGCAUUUGCCAAGGAUGUUUUCAUUAAUCAAGAACGAAAGUUAGGGGAUCGAAGACGAUCAGAUACCGUCGUAGUCUUAACCAUAAACUAUGCCGACUAGGAAUCGGACGAAGUUAAUUUUAUAAUGACUCG